GAUGAACGCUGGCGGCGUGCCUAAUACAUGCAAGUCGAGCGAACAGACGAGGAUCUUGCUCCUCUGACGUUAGCGGCGGACGGGUGAGUAACACGUGUAUAACCUACCUAUAUUACUGGUAUAAUUUCGGGAAACCGGCUCUUAUACCAUAUAAUAUAUUGAACCGUAUUGUUCAAUAGUGAAAUUCGGUUUUUCUGUCACUUCUAGAUGCUUCCCCGCCGCAUUAGCUAGUUGUGAAGGUAACGGCUUACCAAGGCAAGGAGGCGUAGCCGACAUGAGGGGGUGGUCGGCGACACUGGAAGUGAGACGGGGUCAAGAGUCCUAAGGGAGGCAGCAGAAGGGAAUCUUACGCAAAGGGGGAAAGGAUGACGGAGCAAGGGCGAGUGAGAGAUGAAGGUGUUGGGAUCGGAAAAAUCUGUUAUUAGGGAAGAACAAAUGUGGAAGGAACUAUGCAGGUAGUGACGGUAACGAAUCAGAAAGCAACGGCUAACUACGUG
rnacentral:rRNA from 1 species